AAGAAAAAUGAGGUAAACAACACUGAAUCGAAAACAGAAAGGAGAUAUCGAACAACCCAAAUCACGUAACAAAAAACUACGAUGCGAUCCGUCCGAUGAUCAAACGUCAACUGAUCCUUGACUUGCCGAGUAAGUGGUUAAUAUGUGCCGAUAGGAAUUAAUUCAUCGUCUUCCGGACGUGAAUCCGGCCGGCCCCUGUGUAGCGGUAGUUGGUACAUAUUUGGGAAUACACCGACGGAGAAACGACUCAUGCCAGAAGUGACCUAUGAACGUCUAUGGUUAUUACGCAAUUGUAAUUUAAAUACGAUAUUAACAUUGUUCCUAAUUUUUUGAAUAUACAGUGGUACAUGGUAGUACAUAUUAUAUAUUGAAUACAUAAAAGUAUAGAGAUCCAUAAUAUAAUGCAAGGAAGGUGGUUAAUAAUUCUUCCAAAUUUUGGUGACUGAAACAUUUGAUGGAACGUUUUGAUUAAUGAUGGAAAAUCGUUUGAAAAUUUGAAAUCUCCUUGAACUUAAUAGCUGCACAUCCCACUCGGUGCCCGUGAAGUUUAUUGGAAGUUACCAUUUAACAGGAGGAAUUCUCGUCUCACGAAAUCGCGUGCAGUACGGUAUACAAAAUUACACUCGUGAGACUUUCAUUUAUGGGUAUGAACACGAGGUGUUGCAGACACGAAACUGUAAUCAUAGUCAAGUGUCGCAGUGUUAAACUUACAGUUUUCACAUUGUUCCUUGACAAACUUUGAUCCAGGAAGUAACUUAACAUAUUUGGAAAUAAUAUGUUGAUUUGUACCUUGUUCCAAGAAAAUCUUUUGUAAGAAAGGAAGAGGUUUUAAAUACUAGAGUAUAUUUUAGAAGCUUAUCAAAUGUAAACUGAUGAGAAUAGAUAUGCAUGAACAAAUGUACUUUUUUAAAAAUUGUAUACAAGUGGUGGUACUGUGUGUCGCUGUUUGUAUACAACUUAUCCAGUGAUUUUUGCUGAUUUCGUUAUCAGCUAGCUAUAAAUUUUGAAGCUAUUUUCAAACGAAGCAUAUAUGAAUGUACAUUUACCACUGCACAAUCAUGUAUCAAGAGUCAGUUGGUUCCUGUUCAGUUCAUACACGGGAACUUCGUUCUCGACCUAAAAUUAGACCUCCCAAACUCGACCUUUCAAUACAACCUAGAUUUUAUAGAAACUUUCGAUCCACCGUUACGCAAUCAAAGAUAAUUGCAAGAAUUUCGUUUCCAGGAAUAUUUGGCGUUAGUCAUCGACAAGUAUUCGAUAUAACGCUUAAGUUUGACCAACCGUCGCUGGAAAACAAAAUGGAUGAACCGUUUACAAAUAAGUAAAACAAAUUCGAUACCGCAUAUCAGUUGAAAGGACUGGAAAGCCUCCCUGAAAUACUUCUAAUCUGAAGCCGAAUGAGUGACAAAUGUUUUGGGACUUUGAAACUUUCCUUUGAAUAACAAGUGAACGAGGAAAUGCCAAUCUGAAAGCGCGUCCAUAAAACUGAUAUAAAAAUUAUAAUAUUUGUUGCGAGCUUGGUUCACGCUAUUGACUUUCGGUUAAGUCGGUCAAGCAUUGCACGAGGAUGCACGCACACAUAUCAGUUUCUGCUAAGAUAUGCAUCGUCUAUGCUUUCACUCUGACUUAUUCACUGUGUGUACCACAUAUGCAGAGUUCAUUCGCAACAAAAGAAACAAUAAUGUACGAUGGAAUGAACGAGAAGGAAUGACUAAUGACGGAUUGCUACAUCUCGAUGGAAAACUUUUCUCACUCUGUUAUCAGAGAAAUUGUUUCGUAUAGAUAAAAGCGGUUGAAAUUAAGAUCACCGUUUCAAUCGUAGUUCCGACACACGUACACGAGAUACUUGUCGAAUGUCCGAGAAGGUGAUUAAACUACUUAAAGCGAUACCAGUAAUCAAAGUUGUAGCAAAUACAUCCACAUUUUCCUGAUAAUGUGGGUUCUUAACAACGCCAAAUUACGGUGUACCAAAUUACGAUGUACGAGGAACAAUGGUUUCACUAGCAUUCCGACACGAUAUUCGAGAAUGUAAUUCAAUCUCGCAGCGAUCGUAACGCGUAUUUCGUUUUGCGCGUCAAACGAAUGUUCACGCACGCAUACGUUUAAUAAUAAUUUAAAAGAAUGAAGAGACCUAUUUCUCCUAAGGACGUUUACGUUUCCAACGAACAUGGUAUUCGCUGCAUUGUUUGGCUUGAAGUAGCUACGCGUGCACCGUCACGUAUCCUUUCAAUUUUGAACCUCCUUUAGAUUUGGGCACAGUCAAAUCGGAAUACGUUGUGUAUGUCACGUAGGUAGAAAUAAGCGACUGCAGAGAAAAGCAAUCUCUGCGUUAUUAAAUUGGAACAGGAAGUUAAAGGAGAAUUCAGAGAUUUGGAAAUCAGAAGAUUUGAAUAUUUAGAACUUGUGUGAUACACCGUCUACAAUUAAGACCAUAAAGAUUUAGUUUCAUUAGUUUGCAUAAAACUGAAUCUUUGUGGUUUAACGAAGACUGAAAAUUUAUGAUGAACUUGGAAUGGAAACUGUUGACUUGAUUACAAAGUAAUUUAUUUUCUGUUCUCGCUUGAAAAUAGUCUAGACAAUAUUUGUUCCUUCACUCGUUAUCGACUUGACAAUAAGAGAGGAAAACAGAAAUAUUAUUUGGUGGAGCUAACGUUUCUUUUGAAAUGCGUUGUACAUAUUACAUGGAGGGUGCAGAUCGUUGCAGAUACGCGCGCGCGCAUUAUUGUCAUGCCCGGAAGAGACUCAAAUUCCAUUAAAUAUAUCUGAAUCCUUUGACAAACUCAACUGUCGAAUUUUUAUAUACGUUGCCCUCAUUAUAGCUAUCCAGGUCUUGUUCGCUACGAUUGUUCCUGGUCAUUCUUAUUCCACUAUCUAAAGGGAAGUUGAACAACGACUG